rnacentral:tRNA from 1 species
GGGGCGGUAGUUCAGCCUGGGAGAGCGCACGACUGAAGAUCGUGUUGUCGAGGGUCCAAAUCCCUCCCGUCCCACCA